rnacentral:rRNA from 1 species
GACGAACGCUGGCGGCGUGCCUAACACAUGCCAGUCGAACGGAACUGUUUUGAAAGAUUUCUUCGGAAUGAAGUUGAUUUAGUUUAGUGGCGGACGGGUGAGUAACGCGUGAGUAACCUGCCUUCAAGAGGGGAAUAACAUUCUGAAAAGAAUGCUAAUACCGCAUGACAUAUCGGAACCACAUGGUUUUGAUAUCAAAGAUUUUAUCGCUUGAAGAUGGACUCGCGUCCGAUUAGUUAGUUGGUGAGGUAACGGCCAACCAAGACCGCGAUCGGUAGCCGUACUGGGAGACUGAACGGCCACGUUGGGACUGAGACACGGCCCAGACUCCUGCGGGAGGAAGCAGUGGGGGAUAUUGAGCAAGGGGAGCAACCCUGACGCAGCAACGCCGCGUGAAGAAGGACGGUUUUCGGAUUGUAGACUUCUUUUAUUAAGGACGAAAAAUGACGGUACUUAAUGAAUAAGCACCGGCUAACUACGUG